UGAACAUUUUGCCAGAGAAGCACUUCCUUAGGUGGCUGGUAUGAUCUGUCUUUCACAGGAUCCAGAUCUAAGUUAGUUCUAGAAAUUCAAAGUGGAGGAAAAUAAACAAGUGGAACAGCUCUGGAAUAACAAGUUGGUUCUGAGAUUUUUAGAUUCUGGAGCUGGUGAGGUUCGCUACCCUUUGCUGAAGAGCCACUAUGAGAUCAAUAUUUGAUGAACGUGCCUGGGAAUCCUGCAAAAGUGCAGCUGAAGACAGUGCCCGUUGUCCUUCCACAUCUGGUACAGAGCAAGUGUGUUGGACCACUUCCUGACACACGCCUUUUCCGUAGGAAGAGUGCUGCCGCCUCUGGUUUGGCCCCUU